AUUUAUUAGAGCAUAAGCUUUCGUGAGCUACAGCUCACUUCAUCGGAUGCAUUUGUGGGCUGUGGCUCACGAGGGCUUGUGCUCUAGUGGAUUUGUUGGUCUCUGGGGUGCCACGGGUGCUCCUUUUCUUUUUGCGAGUACAGACUAGCACGGCUGCUACUCUGAAACCUGCUAAAGAGGAUCUUAGGGAUAAU